CCUACGGGAGGCAGCAGUGAGGAAUAUUGGUCAAUGGACGAGAGUCUGAACCAGCCAAGUAGCGUGAAGGAUGACUGCCCUAUGGGUUGUAAACUUCUUUUAUAUGGGAAUAAAAUGUUCCACGUGUGGGAUUUUGUAUGUACCAUAUGAAUAAGGAUCGGCUAACUCCGUGCCAGCAGCCGCGGUAAUACGGAGGAUCCGAGCGUUAUCCGGAUUUAGUGGGUUUAAAGGGAGCGUAGGUGGAUUGUUAAGUCAGUUGUGAAAGUUUGCUGCUCAACCGUAAAAUUGCAGUUGAAACUGGCAGUCUUGAGUACAGUAGAGGUGGGCGGAAUUCGUAGUGUAGCGGUGAAAUGCUUAGAUAUCACGAAGAACUCCGAUUGCGAAGGCAGCUCACUGGACUGCAACUGACACUGAGGCUCGAAAGUGUGGGUAUCAAACAGGAUUAGAUACCCCAGUAGUC
rnacentral:rRNA from 1 species